rnacentral:rRNA from 1 species
GUGCCCUUGAGGCGUGGCUUCCGGAGCUAACGCGUUAAAUCGACCGCCUGGGGAGUACGGCCGCAAGGUUAAAACUCAAAUGAAUUGACGGGGGCCCGCACAAGCGGUGGAGCAUGUGGUUUAAUUCUGCAACGCGAAGAACCUUACCUGGUCUUGACAUCCACAGAACUUUCCAGAGAUGCAUUGGUGCCUUCGGGAACUGUGAGACAGGUGCUGCAUGGCUGUCGUCAGCUCGUGUUGUGAAAUGUUGGGUAGUCCCGCAACGAGCGCAACCCUUAUCCUUUGUUGCCAGCGGUUAGGCCGGGAACUCAAAGGAGACUGCCAGUGAUAAACUGGAGGAAGGUGGGGAUGACGUCAAGUCAUCAUGGCCCUUACGACCGGCUACACACGUGCUACAAUGGCGCAUACAAAGAGAAGCGACCUCGCGAGAGCAAGCGGACCUCAUAAAGUGCGUCGUAGUCCGGAUUGGAGUCUGCAACUCGACUCCAUGAAGUCGGAAUCGCUAUAACGUAGAUCAGAAUGCUACGGUGAAUACGUUCCCGGGCCUUGUACACACCGCCCGUCACACCAUGGGAGUGGGUUGCAAAAGAAGUAGGUAGCUUAACCUUCGGGAGGGCGCUUACCACUUUGUAUUCUGACUGGGGUGAAGUCGUAA